GCGGGAAUAGCUCAGUUGGUAGAGCAUAACCUUGCCAAGGUUGGGGUCGCGAGUUCGAGUCUCGUUUCCCACUCCA
rnacentral:tRNA from 4 species